ACUCAAUAUUGGAAAACUUACCUGGCCCGGACACUGUGAGGAUUGACAGAUUGACAGCUCUUUCAUGACUCUAUGUUUAGUGGUGCACGGCCGUUCUUAGUUGGUGGAGUGAUUUGUCUGGUUUAUUCAUAAAAACUAAUAAAUUUGGAUAAAUAAUGGAAUAUAAUAUUGACAUGCAAAAUAAAGUUCAAAAUCCCAGCUAUGUUUUCUUAACCAGACAAUAUCCAACAUCAUCAAUAUCUCGAACUGCGAAGAAUCGAUUUUUCGGAACUAUUAUAUUUAGAUUGUAAUUCGAAUAAGCAAAGCAUAUAAUAUUUCUUGUUUUCCUAAGUUCGUUU
rnacentral:ncRNA from 1 species